rnacentral:lncRNA from 10 species
UCAUGAAAGAAAACUGAGAGAUGGUUCAAGAGUUUCUUUAUGAGGCUGAGGUCCCUGGGCCCUGCAGAAGGACAGAUGUAAGAAAACUUGGCAAAGUUCACAGCUGCUCCAUGGCCACACAUUGAUGAAUGUAUCCCAUGUCCUUGGCUUCCUUACAGAAUGCAAACACAGCUGAAUUGAUCCACUUCAAAUCUUCAUAAACAAUUCAACUGAGGAUGAAAGCAGGAAUCCAGCAGCACAUCAAAAAGCUAAUCCACCACGAACAACAGACUUCAUCCCUAGGAUGCAAUGAUGAGUGUGAUCACCAUUGGAAUAGUACAUCCAGUUCUGAUUAGGAGGUCCACAGAACAGAUGUCCUGGUUGUACCACUGAACAAGGCAUAAUCUCAUCCUGCAUCAACUCUGACCUGAAAUCACCUCUCCAAGAAGAGCUUUGCCCUUACAAAUCCACGCAUGUGGUCGGGUAGGUUUUGAAGCCCAUGAUGACUGGUCUGAAGGAGGAGAUCCUGCUGCUGAUACCUUAAGUUCUCAGGAUUCAAGAUGAAGAAGAUAAAGUUCCUGCCCCAAGAAGCUCUGUAUAAAGUCUAAAGGGCCUGGGAUUAAUUCUGUGUUGUUUAAUGAUGUAUUUCAAGUGCCUGAAGACAAAGAAAGGUGACAGAAUAGCUGUUAGAAUAGUGACUGUUGGUUUUAUUUAAACCUAGGAAGGAUUAGUUGGGAAUUUGUAGAAAAAAGGUAGGAUUUUCUA